rnacentral:rRNA from 1 species
GACGUAGGGCGCGAGCGUUGUCCGGAUUUAUUGGGCGUAAAGAGCUCGUAGGCGGCCUGUUGCGUCCGCUGUGAAAUCCCGGGGCUCAACCCCGGGCGUGCAGUGGAUACGGGCUGGCUGGAGGCAGGCAGGGGAGAACGGAAUUCCUGGUGUAGCGGUGAAAUGCGCAGAUAUCAGGAGGAACACCAGUGGCGAAGGCGAUCAUCUGGGGUUGUUCUGACACUGAGGAGCGAAAGCUAGGGGAGCAAACGGG